rnacentral:rRNA from 1 species
ACCUGCGGAGGGAUCAUUACCGAGUUAUACAACUCAUCAACCCUGUGAACAUACCUAUAACGUUGCCUCGGCGGGAACAGACGGCCCCGUAACACGGGCCGCCCCCCGCCAGAGGACCCCCUAACUCUGUUUCUAUAAUGUUUCUUCUGAGUAAACAAGCAAAUAAAUUAAAACUUUCAACAACGGAUCUCUUGGCUCUGGCAUCGAUGAAGAACGCAGCGAAAUGCGAUAAGUAAUGUGAAUUGCAGAAUUCAGUGAAUCAUCGAAUCUUUGAACGCACAUUGCGCCCGCCAGUAUUCUGGCGGGCAUGCCUGUUCGAGCGUCAUUACAACCCUCAGGCCCCCGGGCCUGGCGUUGGGGAUCGGCGGAAGCCCCCUGCGGGCACAACGCCGUCCCCCAAAUACAGUGGCGGUCCCGCCGCAGCUUCCAUUGCGUAGUAGCUAACACCUCGCAACUGGAGAGCGGCGCGGCCACGCCGUAAAACACCCAACUUCUGAAUGUUGACCUCGAAUCAGGUAGGAAUACCCGCUGAACUUAAGCAUAUCAA